UUCGACCUACGGGGGGCAGCAGUGAGGAAUAUUGCACAAUGGGCGAAAGCCUGAUGCAGCAACGCCGCGUGAGUGAUGAAGGCCUUCGGGUCGUAAAACUCUGUCCUCAAGGAAGAUAAUGACGGUACUUGAGGAGGAAGCCCCGGCUAACUACGCGCCAGCAGCCGCGGUAAUACGUAGGGGGCUAGCGUUAUCCGGAUUUACUGGGCGUAAAGGGUGCGUAGGCGGUCUUUCAAGUCAGGAGUGAACGGCUACGGCUCAACCGUAGUAAGCUCUUGACACUGG
rnacentral:rRNA from 1 species